CUGUGUUUUUUGUUUAAUUUGUGGACAAAGACUUGUGGGCAAAAAAAUACUUUUGCAACUCAAAAAUAGUUGUUCAGUUCAAGAGUUCUGACACAUAUAAGAAAGAAUAUU
ensembl:snoRNA